rnacentral:rRNA from 1 species
UACGAAGGGGGCUAGCGUUGUUCGGAAUUACUGGGCGUAAAGCGCACGUAGGCGGAUAUUUAAGUCAGGGGUGAAAUCCCGGGGCUCAACCCCGGAACUGCCUUUGAUACUGGGUAUCUCGAGUCCGAGAGAGGUGAGUGGAAUUCCGAGUGUAGAGGUGAAAUUCGUAGAUAUUCGGAGGAACACCAGUGGCGAAGGCGGCUCACUGGCUCGGUACUGACACUGAGGUGCGAAAGCGUGGGGAGCAAACAGG